UUUUAGUACACUUAUCACGUCCUCAUAGAAAAAUUAUCAUCCCGAUCCGCAAAAGUUGGAGAAAAAAUUACGCAUUAUUAGGUAAUUAUUGUAUUGCUUCACGCUCCGUGCAACCAGAACGCUUCAUAUAAGGAGAAAAAUGGUAUUCUUAUCCAGCGAGAAUAAUUUCAUAAGUUCAAAUCCAUAGAAGCUCUCUCAUAAAACUCUUUGUGAUGUCAACCAACGACACGGAAAGCGACCAUUCAUCUCACGAUCAUCAGUUCUGGACUAUAACUGAUAUUAUAUUCGUUAUCCUGAGCAUAUUCCCGACAAUCUGCGUGAUCAUUCAUAUAUACAAGUUUUUCCGGACUAAGACGUCACAAAGUCUGUUAACCAAAUACCUUACUUUUUAUUGUUUUUUCUUACUGUUGAUCUACAUUUUGACUGCGGUAAAGGCAUACUGGAAUAUUUGGCCUACAUGUAUCAUACUUAUGAUAUAUUUGAUAAUGGUAUCCGCAUUCGUCAAAUUUAUAAUGGCUCUCGAUCUAUUCUGGUGUUUUCGCCAAAUCGCCUUCUAUCAGCGAACCCCUUUUUCGACCACUCAUAAUAAAAAACUUAUUGUUUACUGUCUGCUUGGUGCUGGUGUACCAUUACUUUACUCGGCGAUUUGGUUCAAAUUAUGCAACCCACGAGAACAUGGAUGCGGUACAAUAAACUCGUAUUUUGGACCAUCCGUAACAACGAGAAUUAUUCGUAUCGUGCGUUUAUUUUUGAUUAUUGCAGCAUUCUGGUGCAUUAAAUCUACUGGUAUGAACAGACAAGAGUUAUGGUCAAAAUCCAGUCUGCAUAUUCGUAUUCUUACAAUGCUAGGUGGGUUUUCUUCCGCCAUAACAGUUCUGGAAAUAAUAAUUUCGAUGACGAUACAGGAUAAAUUCGAUAAACACUGGAAGGAUGAUCAUUGUAUGGAGAAUGUGUUUUUACGAAUAAACUGGUUCGGGUGUAUUCUCGAAGGAGCGAUUAUUCGGAUGUUACUCGCGUUUAAAAAGGAAACAUUUCAGCCUGUUUCUAAUACUAUGAACAUCCCUAGUUCAUCGAUUGUACAUAUAUAAUUCGUGGAAGAGCCAUUUU